GCGAAAGUGGCGGAACUGGCAGACGCGCUGGACUUAGGAUCCAGUCCCGCGAGGGGUGAGGGUUCAAAUCCCUCCUUUCGCA
rnacentral:tRNA from 1 species